rnacentral:lncRNA from 1 species
GAAGAGCUGAUGGGAAUUUCUAACGUCUUGAAGACAGAAAAAAAAAAAAAAAAAAAAAAUUAACCAUUCUAGCUCUGCUGUGGACAGAGAAUUUAUUUCUCUUUACUGAAGUGCCCUGAACAGAAGACACUAUUUUAACCAAACAUUGAACUCGAAGAAGACAUUAAUAAUAUAAGGGUGCAUAUCCAAACCAAAAAUAUGUAUAUAAACAACUACUGUGAAAGGGUAUUUAUGUAGCUAGUCAAGAUGUAAUAUAUGAUUUCUGCAGGAACAGUAAGAGACAACUAAUUUCAGUAUCAUCUGUUUUGUAUGUAGUGUGUAUGCAAAGUCGGGUCUUGUGCACAAACACUUUGUGUAUGAUUGAAUAUUAGUGUUCUACCAUUAGCACAGUAAGUCAGCGUGCAGGGGAUCUGAGACACAAGUGGAUUUGAAGCAACACAGCAACUAACAACAGAAACCUCAGUGGUGCUGCAAAACCUCUCAAGAGCUGGUGAUUGGAUGGUAUAAAACAAAGCCUCAGUCAUAACUUGCCAUUUACACCUAUCCGUGCUGUAAUUGAGUGAAAAGAGCUCACUGAAGGUUUCUCCUUGUACCACUGCUGUGUUCUUCCCUCAGUGUAACAUCCCUCUGUGCUAAUGUGGGCAUGUUCUACAAGAGGAAAAGGAAAGACAGCAGAGAGGAAAACACUUCUUGUCUUGAGUAAAAGAUCUGUCAGGUACUCGGCCCCAUCCUGACUCCUUGACCAUAUGGAGAGGAUUGCAGCAGUCAGCUGGGAUGUGAGAACUAAUCUUCCUGCUGUUGUCAGCAGUCAAGUGCAUGCACUGGAUGUAGGGUACUAAGGAAGAGUAAUAAUGAAAGAGGUGGCAAUAUGUUUUGGAUCAUGUAGGGUAAGAUGUUACCUCCAAGAAAGAUAAAAUCAUGAAGCCACUCUUCACACACAUCUCCUGAGACUUCAGAACUUCUUUCCGGCAUUGCACUCUGAAAAGUGUAUGAGGAAGAAAAUACAAGGAAUUAUGAAUCAGAGCUACAGAAGAGAACUGCAGCACCGAGAAAGGAAUAUAAAACACCAGAAGUUUCACAGUGUAUUUUCUUUUCUCAUUUAUCAAAUAGUAUUCUGGCCAGGGCCUAUUUGAAAUGUACUGUAUUAAAAUGAUCAGGAAAAAAAAAAAAGUACUGUUUUUUGCAUGGUUUACAAUAUUUUGUUAACAUCUUAUCAGCUUUAAACUGUAUGCCCAGUGAUGGGUAGCAUAAAAUGUAGUAUGUGUUUAAUACGGGGUUCUUGUGAUGCAUUCUGCAGUCUACCUGCUGGUGUUUUUGAAAUCCGUUUCCAGAAGGAACCGCACUCCAAGAAAAUGUUUAAAUUUUGCAUUGUUACAGGUAUAAUCUGAUAGAAGUGGGUUAGCCUGUGAUUCAGUGUGGCUUGUGUGCAGCCGAACUGUAGGCCUUGCUGCAGCCUGCAUAACUGGUAUGGCAGCGCAAAGCCGCGCUGGUGUGCGAGGCUGUUAGGCAAUCGGUAUUCCUGGCUGAGGAAGACAGUGAAUCAGCAGGCAUGGCUGAAGGUGACAGUGACAAAUGGCCCCGAGUCUCUGCUGUGUAGCCAGCACAGUCAAGUCUUGUUCUUCAGCCCAGUGAUGAAACUGGUGAGGUUCCCUCCAGAGGAUCACAUCAACAGCAAUUUAUCCUCAAUUCUUCAAAGACCAUGGCGUGAGUCUUCUGACUUUGAGACACAUGCAGAUAUGAGUCUCUGGCCCAGAGGCAAGAAACUGGAUUUCUCUUGCUUAGAAGAAUGUGCAUUUAUUG